UGAGGGAAUAUUUGGGGUCAAUGGACGCAAGUCUGAACCAGCCAAGUCGCGUGCAGGAAUAAGGCCCUAUGGGUCGCAGACUGCUUUUGCAUGAGAAUAAAAAAGUGGGACGAGUCCCACCCUGUAGGUAUCAUGCGAAUAAGGAUCGGCUAACUCCGUGCCAGCAGCCGCGGUAAUACGGAGGAUCCGAGCGUUAUCCGGAUUCAUUGGGUUUAAAGGGAGCGUAGGCCGGAGGGUAAGCGUGUUGUGAAAUGCAGUUGCUCAACAUCUGCACUGCAGCGCGAACUGUUCUCCUUGAGUGCGCAGGAAGUAGGCGGAAUUCGUCGUGUAGCGGUGAAAUGCUUAGAUAUGACGAAGAACUCCGAUUGGGAAGCCAGCUUACUGUAGC
rnacentral:rRNA from 1 species